ACAUGGCCUGUUUCCAUUCUCAUCGGCACCCUGGGCGGGCGAAGGAAAGGCUUUCGGAGGGGGAGGGUAAGGGGUUCGUCGUCUCCUACUCUGUUCGAAGGACUCCCGGAUGGAGGAGAUCACGGAAGGCGUGAACAAUCUCCACGUCACCGCCGCCGAUUCCCACAAGAAGAAUCGGAUCCAGGUGUCCAACACGAAGAAGCCCCUCUUCUUCUACGUCAACCUUGCCAAGAGGUAUAUGCAGCAAUACAAUGAAGUUGAGCUGUCAGCUCUUGGAAUGGCAAUUGCAACUGUUGUCACUAUCACGGAAAUUCUGAAAAACAAUGGCCUAGCUAUCGAGAAGAAGAUCACAACAUCAACCGUUGAUGUUAAGGAUGAAUCUAGGGGGGGUCGGCCCAUGCAAAAAGCAAAGAUUGAGAUAUUGUUGGGCAAGACAGAGAACUUCGAUGAAUUGAUGGCUUCCGCGGCUGAGGAAAGGGAUGUGGGAGAUGGUGAGGAGCAAAGCUGAAAGUAUUCGAGCCUUUGGUGGUGCAUCGGGUUUACUCUUUACUUGCUUUCCUGCUCGAUAGAUGGUAGUUUGUUAUGAAGUGAGAAUACAACAUUAAGCGUGCUUUUUCGGAGUUUGCAAUUUUCGUGCCCGGUAGUAGUGUUAGCCCCCUGUUCCCUUAAUUUUCUUGGUUCUUCCUAGGUGCUGGAUUUACCAAGGAAGACGUGCUGUUGGAAAUUAAAGCUACAUAUUAAAGCAGCCUGUUACUUCGACGCCCAGCUUUGUGAAGUCUCCUUCAGUUGUGUGCUUCAAACUUGCGCCUAAUUGCUUGGGAACGUCUGAUAUGUGCCCCAUGUUUGAGAUAUCUUACAACAAGUCUUUUGCCUGCGGAAUGUAAAGUCAAGUCACUUAUGAUGUAAUGGUGUCAAAAUAUGCCUUGAACAAUAACUAAAGGUUCAUCCCAAGCAUCUUUCUAAUCCAAUCGUAUAUUAAGAAAA